rnacentral:tRNA from 1 species
GUCCUGUGGCGCAGUGGUAGCGCGCCGUUCUUAUAAUGCGGAUGCCGUGGGUUCGAUCCCCACCAGGUACG